UAUGAGAGUUUGAUCCUGGCUCAGGACGAACGCUGGCGGCGUGCCUAAUACAUGCAAGUCGUACGCUUCUUUUUCCGCCGGAGCUUGCUCCACCGGAAAAAGAAGAGUGGCGAACGGGUGAGUAACACGUGGGUAACCUGCCCAUCAGAAGGGGAUAACACUUGGAAACAGGUGCUAAUACCGUAUAACAAUCGAAACCGCAUGGUUUUGAUUUGAAAGGCGCUUUCGGGUGUCGCUGAUGGAUGGACCCGCGGUGCAUUAGCUAGUUGGUGAGGUAACGGCUCACCAAGGCCACGAUGCAUAGCCGACCUGAGAGGGUGAUCGGCCACAUUGGGACUGAGACACGGCCCAAACUCCUACGGGAGGCAGCAGUAGGGAAUCUUCGGCAAUGGACGAAAGUCUGACCGAGCAACGCCGCGUGAGUGAAGAAGGUUUUCGGAUCGUAAAACUCUGUUGUUAGAGAAGAAUAAGGAUGAGAGUAACUGUUCAUCCCUUGACGGUAUCUAACCAGAAAGCCACGGCUAACUACGUGCCAGCAGCCGCGGUAAUACGUAGGUGGCAAGCGUUGUCCGGAUUUAUUGGGCGUAAAGCGAGCGCAGGCGGUUUCUUAAGUCUGAUGUGAAAGCCCCCGGCUCAACCGGGGAGGGUCAUUGGAAACUGGGAGACUUGAGUGCAGAAGAGGAGAGUGGAAUUCCAUGUGUAGCGGUGAAAUGCGUAGAUAUAUGGAGGAACACCAGUGGCGAAGGCGGCUCUCUGGUCUGUAACUGACGCUGAGGCUCGAAAGCGUGGGGAGCAAACAGGAUUAGAUACCCUGGUAGUCCACGCCGUAAACGAUGAGUGCUAAGUGUUGGAGGGUUUCCGCCCUUCAGUGCUGCAGCUAACGCAUUAAGCACUCCGCCUGGGGAGUACGACCGCAAGGUUGAAACUCAAAGGAAUUGACGGGGGCCCGCACAAGCGGUGGAGCAUGUGGUUUAAUUCGAAGCAACGCGAAGAACCUUACCAGGUCUUGACAUCCUUUGACCACUCUAGAGAUAGAGCUUCCCCUUCGGGGGCAAAGUGACAGGUGGUGCAUGGUUGUCGUCAGCUCGUGUCGUGAGAUGUUGGGUUAAGUCCCGCAACGAGCGCAACCCUUAUUGUUAGUUGCCAUCAUUUAGUUGGGCACUCUAGCAAGACUGCCGGUGACAAACCGGAGGAAGGUGGGGAUGACGUCAAAUCAUCAUGCCCCUUAUGACCUGGGCUACACACGUGCUACAAUGGGAAGUACAACGAGUCGCGAAGUCGCGAGGCUAAGCUAAUCUCUUAAAGCUUCUCUCAGUUCGGAUUGUAGGCUGCAACUCGCCUACAUGAAGCCGGAAUCGCUAGUAAUCGCGGAUCAGCACGCCGCGGUGAAUACGUUCCCGGGCCUUGUACACACCGCCCGUCACACCACGAGAGUUUGUAACACCCGAAGUCGGUGAGGUAACCUUUUGGAGCCAGCCGCCUAAGGUGGGAUAGAUGAUUGGGGUGAAGUCGUAACAAGGUAGCCGUAUCGGAAGGUGCGGCUGGAUCACCUCCUUUCUAAGGAA
rnacentral:rRNA from 1 species